rnacentral:snoRNA from 1 species
UGAUGAUUGUUCCUCCUAUUGCCUUUAGGCAUGGCACUAGGAUUUUAGAUCAUCAUAAAUUAAAAUUGAUUUUUUUCAUUCAGAGAGUAUCAAGAUAAUGGGAUUAUCUGUGUAUUCUCUGAAAUUUGCGGGAUCAAACAAUU